UGACAGCUGCUCUCUUCUCUGGAAU
rnacentral:piRNA from 1 species